UAACGACUCUCGGCAACGGAUAUCUCGGCUCUCGCAUCGAUGAAGAACGUAGCAAAAUGCGAUACGUGGUGUGAAUUGCAGGAUCCCGUGAACCAUCGAGUUUUUGAACGCAAGUUGCGCCCGAAGCCUUUAGGCCGAGGGCACGUCUGCCUGGGCGUCACGCA
rnacentral:rRNA from 2 species